rnacentral:rRNA from 1 species
AUUGAACGCUGGCGGCAUGCCUUACACAUGCCAGUCGAUCGGCAGCAUGGAAGAGCUUGCUCUUCUGAUGGCGAGUGGCGUACGGGUGAGUAAAGCAUCGGAACGUACCGUGUAAUGGGGGAUAACGUAGCGAAAGUUACGCUAAUACCGCAUACGACCUGAGGGUGAAAGCAGGGGAUCGCAUGACCUUGCGUUAUACGACCGGCCGAUGUCAGAUUAGCUAGUUGGUAGGGUAAAGGCCUACCAAGGCGACGAUCUGUAGCGGGUCUGAGAGGAUGAGCCGCCACGCUGGGGCUGAGACAGGGCCAGGACUCCUACGGGAGGCAGCAGUGGGGAAUUAUGGACGAUGGGGGCAACCCUGAUCCAGCCAUGCCGCGUGAGUGAAGAAGGCCUUCGGGUUGUAAAGCUCUUUCGGCCGGGAAGAAAUCGCACAGGCUAAUACUCUGUGUGGAUGACGGUACCGGCAUAAGAAGCACCGGCUAACUACGUGCCAGCAGCCGCAGUAA